CUAUGUUAAAUCGGGGUGUUAGCGGUACCUUGUAACCCACAAUCCGCUAUAGUGGGGAUGAAAACUUGAGCUGAGGGGCAAAAUUUGUCUUGUCUGCCUUAAUUUUGGUAGGCGUUGACGAUUCGGUCCUGCGCAAUUGAAACCUGUGAACCACGUCAGGGCAGGAAUGCAGCAGCGUUAAGCAGUUCUUUUUGAUGUGCCGCAGGGUUGCCGAGUCUGAGCAAACCGGUUAAGUAACGGGGGUAUUUUUGCUUCAAACUCAAGAACAUAG
rnacentral:SRP_RNA from 1 species